rnacentral:rRNA from 1 species
CCAAUAGCGUAUAUUAAAGUUGUUGCAGUUAAAAAGCUCGUCGUUGAACUUCGGGGUUUACUUAUUGGUCAGGCUUAAUUGUCUGUACUGGUGAGAUGAAUCUCUACCUUCUGAGGAACCUUCAUGUCAUUUAUUUGGUGUGAUUGGAAAUCAGGACUGUUACUUUGAAAAAAUUAGAGUGUUUAAAGCAGGCUAACGUCUGAAUACAUUAGCAUGGAAUAAUGAAAUAGGACGGACUGAUUCUAUUUCGUUGGUUUCUAGGAUCACCGUAAUGAUUAAUAGGGAUAGUUGGGGGCAUUAGUAUUCAAUUGUCAGAGGUGAAAUUCUUGGAUUUAUUGAAGACUAACUACUGCGAAAGCAUUUGCCAAGGAUGUUUUCAUUAAUCAAGAACGAAAGUUAGGGGAUCGAAGACGAUCAGAUACCGUCGUAGUCUUAACCAUAAACUAUGCCGACUAGGGAUCGGACGAAGUUAAUUUUAUAAUGACGCGUUCGGCACCUUACG